GGCGGUUCUUGGGUGACACACCCCGGACCAGAAAGGAGGGAGCCCAAUUCUGGGGUGCGUCACCCGAGAACCGCC
rfam:Myotis brandtii contig179373, whole genome shotgun sequence.